ensembl:lncRNA
AAAAUACAGAGCUGAUAGUGCUCUACUAAGGGCUGUGUUUCCUGUCAGGUGGCUUUAUCGUCCUGGUUUUGUAAUCAGUGUGAAAGGGAAAGUGGUCCAUUUCUAAAAUGAGAGGAAUACGCUGCAGAACAAGCUCACCAGGAAGAAAACAGUUGCUUCAGUCGUGUCUGGCUGACCCUAUGGACUGUAGCCCUCCAGGCUCCUCUGUCCAUGGGAUUCUCCAGGUGUUCCAGCUACAUGACCACCUGCCAGAAAUGCUGUAGAAGAAAUGCUACAAAUUGGGUACUAGAAGACUGCAAAGACGGCUCUACUUAUUCUCUUCUUUUUUUACAUAUCCUUUUGCAAGAUGAUGUUGAAAUAGUUCCCAGUGAGAGAUGGCAUUUCCCCACCCCUUGAAUCUGGGCUGGCCUUGUGAACUGCUUCACCAAAGAGAAGCAAUACCAUGCCAGUUCUGAGUCUAGGUCUCAAAAGGCCUUGCAUAGUUUCAUUCUCCUAGAAAUUUCAGAGACCCAUAUGAAUAAACCCUCGCUAGACUAGUUUUUUGAGAGCAUGCCAGACUUCACUAGCUAUGGUGAAGUACCAUAGCUAGCAGCCAUCCAACCUCUGGAAGCAGACCCACUCAGCUGACCUAUAGCUCUCCACAGACACAUAAGUGAGUUUAACCUGUAAAUUCAUAGGCAAUGACUCACACAGUUAAUAGUUGCUGUGUGAUUCUCAAAAGCACCGUCUGAGAUGAAGGGAAGAGAUAGGGAAUGCCUGAUGUCCCAAUCAGAACAGCCUGCGCCAUCGUCAUCUACCAGUGUCCAAAAGGCCUCCAGAGACUUUUUUCAAUGGACUUAGUGGUCAGUGUUAAUUGGGCACCUUACUAUUCGCCAGACAAUGGCUUUAAUGCUUUAUGUAAAUUAAUUCUUAAGCCUCAAAAGACCUAGUGAGAAAUGUAUUAUUUUUUAAAUUUCAGUUCAGUUCAGUCGCUCAGUCAUGUCCGACUCUUUGCGACCCCAUGAAUCGCAGCACACCAGGCCUCCCUGUCUAUCACCAACUCCUGGAGUUCAUUCAGACUCACGUCCAUCGAGUCAGUAAUGCCAUCCAGCCAUCACAUCCUGGGUCGUCCCCUUCUCCUCCUGCCCCCAAUCC